AUCCAGUUGACGGGUCCCAAUUAGGACGAAACGCGCGUCCUGGAU
rnacentral:hammerhead_ribozyme from 1 species